UGGGGAAUAUUGCACAAUGGGCGCAAGCCUGAUGCAGCCAUGCCGCGUGUGUGAAGAAGGCCUUCGGGUUGUAAAGCACUUUCAGCGGGGAGGAAGGCGAUAAGGUUAAUAACCUUGUCGAUUGACGUUACCCGCAGAAGAAGCACCGGCUAACUCCGUGCCAGCAGCCGCGGUAAUACGGAGGGUGUAAGCGUUAAUCGGAAUUACUGGGCGUAAAGCGCACGCAGGCGGUUUGUUAAGUCAGAUGUGAAAUCCCCGGGCUCAACCUGGGAACUGCAUCUGAUACUGGCAAGCUUGAGUCUCGUAGAGGGGGGUAGAAUUCCAGGUGUAGCGGUGAAAUGCGUAGAGAUCUGGAGGAAUACCGGUGGCGAAGGCGGCCCCCUGGACGAAGACUGACGCUCAGGUGCGAAAGCGUGGGGAGCAAACAGG
rnacentral:rRNA from 1 species